rnacentral:tRNA from 1 species
GGGGAAGUGCUGGAAUUGGCAGACAGGCGUGACUUAGGAUCACGUGCCGAGAGGCGUGUGGGUUCGACCCCCAUCUUCCCCA